CACAAUCUGCAAAUUUUUCAAUGAACACACCAAAUUUGGACUAGAAAAUUACCAUAAUUACAAACUUCAAAAACUUAGGUUGUUCAAAAAGUAAUCAAAGAAUCCCCAAUAUCUAGUGAGAAAAACCAAAAAAAAAAAAUGGAAGAAAUUACCUGAAUGAAAUUGAUGGAUCUGCAUGUGAAAUCGACAUGUUUAUUUUGUUUGUGAGGUGAAAUUUAUUAGGAGAGAGAAAGUUGCAGAUCAAAAAAAUUCCUGUGUUUGAGCACACUCCCUAUUUGAUUCCUAUAUGAACUCAGAGAAUCUAGAGAAAGACGUUGAUUCUCAGCUGAUAAAAAGACUCUGAAAUUCACAAAG